rnacentral:rRNA from 1 species
AUUGAACGCUGGCGGCAGGCUUAACACAUGCAAGUCGAGCGGAGAUGAGGUGCUUGCACCUUAUCUUAGCGGCGGACGGGUGAGUAAUGCUUAGGAAUCUGCCUAUUAGUGGGGGACAACAUUCCGAAAGGAAUGCUAAUACCGCAUACGUCCUACGGGAGAAAGCAGGGGAUCUUCGGACCUUGCGCUAAUAGAUGAGCCUAAGUCGGAUUAGCUAGUUGGGGGGGUAAUGGCCUACCAAGGCGACGAUCUGUAGCGGGUCUGAGAGGAUGAUCCGCCACACGGGGACUGAGACACGGCCCAGACUCCUACGGGAGGCAGCAGUGGGGAAUAUUGGACAAUGGGGGGAACCCUGAUCCAGCCAUGCCGCGUGUGUGAAGAAGGCCUUAUGGUUGUAAAGCACUUUAAGCGAGGAGGAGGCUACUGAGACUAAUACUCUUGGAUAGUGGACGUUACUCGCAGAAUAAGCACCGGCUAACUCUGUGCCAGCCGCCGCCGUAA